CAUCACUGGUCGUAAUAAUCAAAUUGAUGUUUUAUAAAACCGAAUUUAUGGUUGUUUUUCGACCCUAUUUGAGAAACUAACCUCUUUAUAGUUUGUUCUUUUUAACAAAAUUAAUCAGUAAUAGUGGCAUCACUCUCCACAUCUGGUAAAAUCGCCGUCAAAUCGACAGCAACACCUCGAAUCUAGCUAAAUUAGUCCAAAGUAACUUGGAAGAGCCUUCAGGGAUAUUGAAAGAAACUCUUCCAAGUUAUUUAGGUGUAAG
rnacentral:misc_RNA from 1 species